rnacentral:rRNA from 2 species
GACGAACCGUGCGAACGUUAUUCGGAAUCACUGGGCUUAAAGCGCGUGUAGGCGGAUGGGAACGUCGGCCACUGAAAGCCCCCGGCUCAACCGGGGAAGUGGUGCCGAAACGACCCGUCUGGAGGGACGUAGGGGGAUCUGGAACUUCCGGUGGAGCGGUGAAAUGCGUUGAGAUCGGAAGGAACGCCCGUGGCGAAAGCGAGAUCCUGGACGUCAUCUGACGCUGAGACGCGAAAGCUAGGGGAGCGAACGGG